rnacentral:SRP_RNA from 1 species
GCCAGGCAUGGUGGCACAUGCCUGUAGUCCCAGCUACUCAGGAGGCUGAGGCAGGGGAAUCACUUGAACCCAGGAGGCAGAGGUUGCAGUGAGCCUAGACCGUGCCACUGCACUCCAGCCUGGGCAACAGAGUGAGACUCUGUCUCAA